rnacentral:rRNA from 1 species
GUAGUCCUAACUGUAAACGAUGGACACUAGGUGUGGGAGGUAUCAACCCCUUCCGUGCCGACGCUAACGCAUUAAGUGUCCCGCCUGGGGAGUACGGCCGCAAGGUUAAAACUCAAAGGAAUUGACGGGGGCCCGCACAAGCGGUGGAGCAUGUGGUUUAAUUCGACGCUACGCGAAAAACCUUACCUGGGCUCGAACGACUGGUGUUAGUCCUGUAGAAAUACGGGAUGACCCGCAAGGGAGCCAGCCGAGGUGCUGCAUGGUUGUCGUCAGCUCGUGUCGUGAGAUGUUGGGUUAAGUCCCGCAACGAGCGCAACCCUCGUCCCAUGUUGCUACCCCUCACGGGGAGGACUCUUGGGAGACUGCCGCGGAUAACGUGGA